rnacentral:lncRNA from 1 species
UUUUUUUUUUUUUUUUUUGAGACAGGGUCUCACUCUGUUGCCUGGGAUGGAAGUGGUGCAAUCAUAGUUCACUGCAGUCUCAAACUCCCAGGCUCAAGCGGUCCUCCCACCUUGAGAUUUUAUCAUGAAUGUGACGAGGAGCCUUUCAAAUGGGUAUGCCUGAGAAGUAAUUGAAUUUAAAAGUCAAGACGGAUAGGAGGACCUGGAAAACUUAGAGUCAGAGAAGCCAAGGGAGGCAGAUCUGACCAGAAGGAGGAAAUUGUCAACAGUGUCAGAUGUUGCUGAAAGAUAGAAGUGACAUUUGGCUGCAGCAUCCAGGAGGUCUUGAGCAGUUUCAUUGAAGUAGUGAGUGUGGAAGGAAGGUAAAGAAGUGGAGAACAGGCAUUGCAAGAUAAUUUUCCAUCAUCGUCAUCAUCAUCGUCCUCAUCACCGGAAAAUGAGCAUCAAUUAUCUUAUCUACCAGACAUAGAGAGUGACCAGGUAAGGAAUGACACACCUGCAGCCUGGGAGAUUUCAGAAAACAGAUCAUAAAUAUAAAACAGAAGACAGCAACACAUGGUACAACACAUGCAAAGGGCAAAAUGAGCAGUGUAGGCCAACGGGAUGAAGAACAGAAAGAAUUAGGGGGCAGGUGAAAUGGGAGAGUUUUUCAAGCAGUCAGUGCGCUUGAGGUUUGCAUUCUGGAUUGUGCCUCCUUAUAAGUCAGUCCAACCUGUUUUUGAUUCUCCAUCCAGUGGAAAUAGGAAACACCAUCAAAGAUGAUGCAUAGUCUUAACUUGCCUGUGACUUCUGAUUAUGUUUCCGAAUUUUGGGAGGAAGAUUAAAGUCAUAAACUGACUCUUGGUUUGUUAUAAUUUCUUGCAACUGUUAUUUUAAAAAUCCGGACACAGGCCAAGGCAGGAGGAUUCUCUGAGGCCAGGAGUUUGAGACCAGCCUGGGCAACAUAGUGAGACCCUGUCCCUACAAUAAUAAAAGUAAAAUAAAAAGAAAAUCUGGAUGCAGAAACUGAGGUGUAGAUAAAUAUAGCAAGUCAGAGAUAUUCGUAAAUUCUACAUCGAUGAGUUUCUUGAGAAAUUCUGCACACCCAGUGCUGGACAACUGUGGAAUUGCAGCGUGAUACCUUUCACAUCUGGGUCAUCUCCAUAUGAUAUCUUCUUCCUGGUACAAGGCCAGAAGUUCACCCCACGCACAACACCUAUGGAAGCCACUUACGAUUCAAAGGACAGUUUUUCUGAAAAAGGGUGCAUGAUGUAUACUUCCCUUCAACACUAAAAUUCUGCUGCUUAAACUUUGUAAGUGAAGGAAAGGACUGGUUCUCUUCUACUUUGGCUGUCUUCCUUGUUUCCUAUUUAUUGGGUGCUUGCUUUGGGCAACCCAUUGUAUUGGAUGUGCUCUAAACCACAAUCUUUGCUCCUAAGGAGUCCGUAGUAUUUAUCGGGGGAUACGACCUGGAUAAUUCAUAUAAGAUAUGAAUUUCUUUCUUUUUCUUUUUUUUCUUUUUUUUUGAGACAGAUUCUCACUCUGUCGCCCAGGCUGGAGUGCAGUGGCGCGAUCACGGCUCACUGCAACCUCCGUCUCCUGGGUUCAAGCAAUUCUCAUGCCUCAGCCCCCCAAGUAGCUGGGAUUACAGGCACCCACCACCAUACUCAGCUAAUUUUUGUAUUUUUAGUAGAGAUGGAGUUUCACCGUGUUGGCCAGGCUGGUCUUGAAUUCCUGACCUCAAGUGAUCCGCCCACCUCGGCCUCCCAAAGUCCUGGGAUUACAGGCGUGAACCACAAUGCCUGGCCAAGAUAUGAAUUCU